AGAGUUUGAUCCUGGCUCAGGACAAACGCUGGCGGCGUGCCUAACACAUGCAAAUCGAACGAAGCACUGUGGAAAGAGACUUCGGUCAAUUGAAACUUUGACUUAGUGGCGGACGGGUGAGUAAUGCAUGAGCAACCUGCCCUGGAGAGGGGGACAACAGCUGGAAACGGCUGCUAAUACCGCAUGAUGUUGCGGGGAGGCAUCUUCCUGCAACCAAAGAUUUAUCGCUCUGAGAUGGGCUCAUGUCUGAUUAGACAGUUGGCGGGGUAACGGCCCACCAAAUCUACGAUCAGUAGCCGGACUGAGAGGUUGAACGGCCACAUUGGGACUGAGAUACGGCCCAGACUCCUACGGGAGGCAGCAGUGGGGAAUAUUGGGCAAUGGGCGCAAGCCUGACCCAGCAACGCCGCGUGAAGGAAGAAGGCUUUCGGGUUGUAAACUUCUUUUAUCAGGGACGAAGAAAGUGACGGUACCUGAUGAAUAAGCCACGGCUAACUACGUGCCAGCAGCCGCGGUAAUACGUAGGUGGCGAGCGUUGUCCGGAUUUACUGGGUGUAAAGGGCGCGUAGGCGGGAAGGCAAGUCAGAUGUGAAAUCUAUGGGCUUAACCCAUAAACUGCAUUUGAAACUGUUUCUCUUGAGUGCCGGAGAGGUAGACGGAAUUCCUAGUGUAGCGGUGAAAUGCGUAGAUAUUAGGAGGAACACCAGUGGCGAAGGUGGUCUACUGGACGGUAACUGACGCUGAGGCGCGAAAGCGUGGGGAGCAAACAGGAUUAGAUACCCUGGUAGUCCACGCUGUAAACGAUGAAUACUAGGUGUGGGGGGGACUGACCCCUUCCGUGCCGCAGUUAACACAAUAAGUAUUCCACCUGGGGAGUACGGUCGCAAGACUGAAACUCAAAGGAAUUGACGGGGGCCCGCACAAGCAGUGGAUUAUGUGGUUUAAUUCGAAGCAACGCGAAGAACCUUACCAGGGCUUGACAUCCAACCAACGAAGCAG
rnacentral:rRNA from 1 species